GAGAGUUUGAUCCUGGCUCAGAUUGAACGCUGGCGGCAGGCCUAACACAUGCAAGUCGAGCGGUAACACAGAGAGCUUGCUCUCGGGUGACGAGCGGCGGACGGGUGAGUAAUGUCUGGGAAACUGCCUGAUGGAGGGGGAUAACUACUGGAAACGGUAGCUAAUACCGCAUAACGUCGCAAGACCAAAGUGGGGGACCUUCGGGCCUCAUGCCAUCAGAUGUGCCCAGAUGGGAUUAGCUAGUAGGUGGGGUAAUGGCUCACCUAGGCGACGAUCCCUAGCUGGUCUGAGAGGAUGACCAGCCACACUGGAACUGAGACACGGUCCAGACUCCUACGGGAGGCAGCAGUGGGGAAUAUUGCACAAUGGGCGCAAGCCUGAUGCAGCCAUGCCGCGUGUAUGAAGAAGGCCUUCGGGUUGUAAAGUACUUUCAGCGAGGAGGAAGGCAUUAAGGUUAAUAACCUUGGUGAUUGACGUUACUCGCAGAAGAAGCACCGGCUAACUCCGUGCCAGCAGCCGCGGUAAUACGGAGGGUGCAAGCGUUAGUCGGAAUUACUGGGCGUAAAGCGCACGCAGGCGGUCUGUCAAGUCGGAUGUGAAAUCCCCGGGCUCAACCUGGGAACUGCAUUCGAAACUGGCAGGCUAGAGUCUUGUAGAGGGGGGUAGAAUUCCAGGUGUAGCGGUGAAAUGCGUAGAGAUCUGGAGGAAUACCGGUGGCGAAGGCGGCCCCCUGGACAAAGACUGACGCUCAGGUGCGAAAGCGUGGGGAGCAAACAGGAUUAGAUACCCUGGUAGUCCACGCCGUAAACGAUGUCGACUUGGAGGUUGUGCCCUUGAGGCGUGGCUUCCGGAGCUAACGCGUUAAGUCGACCGCCUGGGGAGUACGGCCGCAAGGUUAAAACUCAAAUGAAUUGACGGGGGCCCGCACAAGCGGUGGAGCAUGUGGUUUAAUUCGAUGCAACGCGAAGAACCUUACCUACUCUUGACAUCCAGAGAACUUAGCAGAGAUGCUUUGGUGCCUUCGGGAACUCUGAGACAGGUGCUGCAUGGCUGUCGUCAGCUCGUGUUGUGAAAUGUUGGGUUAAGUCCCGCAACGAGCGCAACCCUUAUCCUUUGUUGCCAGCGAUUAGGUCGGGAACUCAAAGGAGACUGCCAGUGAUAAACUGGAGGAAGGUGGGGAUGACGUCAAGUCAUCAUGGCCCUUACGAGUAGGGCUACACACGUGCUACAAUGGCAUAUACAAAGAGAAGCGACCUCGCGAGAGCAAGCGGACCUCAUAAAGUAUGUCGUAGUCCGGAUUGGAGUCUGCAACUCGACUCCAUGAAGUCGGAAUCGCUAGUAAUCGUAGAUCAGAAUGCUACGGUGAAUACGUUCCCGGGCCUUGUACACACCGCCCGUCACACCAUGGGAGUGGGUUGCAAAAGAAGUAGGUAGCUUAACCUUCGGGAGGGCGCUUACCACUUUGUGAUUCAUGACUGGGGUGAAGUCGUAACAAGGUAACCG
rnacentral:rRNA from 1 species